rnacentral:ncRNA from 1 species
AUCGAACUUCUACACUCAGGUGCCUUGUGCCAUGCACAGGGUUAAACGGGAAACAGGUGAAAGACCUGUGCUGCCCCCGCAACGGUAAGAUGUUGUCACCGCUGAUGCCACUGUACUUUCAAGUACGGGAAGGCGCGGUGAAUCGCGCAAUGCGCCGCAUCAAGCCCGGAUACCGGCCUGAGUGGGAUCACUGUU